UGUCUAUGUCCCCAUGUUUUCCAGGGUCCCCAUGUUCCAAGUGACAUGGGGACCCUGGAAAACAUGGGGACAUAGAC
rnacentral:miRNA from 1 species